CACCUCUACCCUCAGAAGUGGAAGAAAUGCAAAAUAGCCCCCCACCCAAUGGCACCCUCACUGGUAGCGACUGACAGUGUCCCCGGCCACUAAAAGGGAUUUACAAACCAUGCUGGCUGGCCUCCAACAGAACCUUAAACAGAUGUGGGAAGCAGAUUUGACAGUACUCACGACUGAGGUACAGGCUGUGACCGCAUGCACUCAAGUAACAG